rnacentral:rRNA from 1 species
UGGGGAAUUUUGGACAAUGGGCGAAAGCCUGAUCCAGCAAUGCCGCGUGUGUGAAGAAGGCCUUCGGGUUGUAAAGCACUUUUGUCCGGAAAGAAAUCCUUGGCUCUAAUACAGUCGGGGGAUGACGGUACCGGAAGAAUAAGCACCGGCUAACUACGUGCCAGCAGCCGCGGUAAUACGUAGGGUGCAAGCGUUAAUCGGAAUUACUGGGCGUAAAGCGUGCGCAGGCGGUUUGCUAAGACCGAUGUGAAAUCCCCGGGCUCAACCUGGGAACUGCAUUGGUGACUGGCAGGCUAGAGUAUGGCAGAGGGGGGUAGAAUUCCACGUGUAGCAGUGAAAUGCGUAGAGAUGUGGAGGAAUACCGAUGGCGAAGGCAGCCCCCUGGGCCAAUACUGACGCUCAUGCACGAAAGCGUGGGGAGCAAACAGGAUUAGAUACCCUGGUAGUCCACGCCCUAAACGAUGUCAACUAGUUGUUGGGGAUUCAUUUCCUUAGUAACGUAGCUAACGCGUGAAGUUGACCGCCUGGGGAGUACGGUCGCAAGAUUAAAACUUGAAUGAAUUGACGGGG